rnacentral:rRNA from 1 species
GACGAACGCUGGCGGCGUGCUUAACACAUGCAAGUCGAACGGUAAGGCCCUUCGGGGUACACGAGUGGCGAACGGGUGAGUAACACGUGGGUGAUCUGCCCUGCACUUCGGGAUAAGCCUGGGAAACUGGGUCUAAUACCGGAUAGGACCACUGCCUGCAUGGGUGGUGGUGGAAAGCUUUUGCGGUGUGGGAUGGGCCCGCGGCCUAUCAGCUUGUUGGUGGGGUGAUGGCCUACCAAGGCGACGACGGGUAGCCGGCCUGAGAGGGUGACCGGCCACACUGGGACUGAGGUACGGCCCAGACUCCUACGGGAGGCAGCAGUGGGGGAUAUUGCACAAUGGGCGCAAGCCUGAUGCAGCGACGCCGCGUGAGGGAUGACGGCCUUCGGGUUGUAAACCUCUUUCAGCGCCGACGAAGCGCAAGUGACGGUAGGUGCAGAAGAAGGACCGGCCAACUACGUGCCAGCAGCCGCGGUAA